UUUUGUUCGCUUACCCCCAAAUAGUCGAAUACACUUUCAUUUUCGAGCUCUUUUUUCCCUCUCUGAACAGCUCUCUUUCCCUCUCUUUCUCUCUUGCGAUUUUGAAGGUUUGAAGGUCUCUCUCUUUCCCCUCUCUUUCUCUCUUGCGAUUUCGAAGGUCUGAAGCUCUCUGUGAUUUCGAACCGGCGAUUUUCCCACCUCCAAAUAUAGAAGAGAUGAUUUGAGACUUAAAUCUAUUCAACAGUUCAAGUUAGAUGCUCCCUAUAGUAACGAGGAGAUCAAUGCCGUACGGGAUGAGUGGGUCGAAUUUGUGAAGCCUUUGAUUAUAGAUUAAGUACUUAAGGUUACUACACUUUUCUUAUAAUACAUGAGUAACAAGUUUUAUGAUUAUUGUUAUCUUUUGCAUAUAUUAUUAGUUUAUAUUUAGUUUACGAUAUACAUGGAAUUUAAGUUUUAGAAUCGAUUUUAUUAACAAUUUUUGUAUUGUGUGAAUAGUUAAUAGAAUCGAUUACUAAUUUUAUAUAAGUUUUUGAAAUGUUAUUUUAAUUUUUUUUGUAUUAUGUAUUUACUAUAUUAUAUAGAGUUAUUCUAAAAUUUGAUAAUGCAGGUGGGGAAAAUUGCAUGAAAAAUUUGCAAUUUUCCCUUACUUAUAUUUGUGCUUCAUUUUAUAAGUGACGCAAUAAGUAAAAAAAAAAAGUAUUUUUGUAAUAGAUGUGGCAUUUUUAAACCGACGGAAUAAGUUUUUUGUGACAGCUUUAAAAUGCCAUGAAACAUUUAGCGUCAUUUUUUAACCGACGCUUAAAAUAAAAUAGAAAAGUAUUUAUUUAGCGUCGGUUUUCAAAUGACGAAAAUUGUAUUUUGCGUCUUUUUAAAAACGACGCAAAUAAAAUACUAUUUACGUCUACGGAUUAUACGUCGGUUCUGUAGACCGACGCAAAAUCUUUAUAUGUCACUUAUAAAACGACGA